rnacentral:rRNA from 1 species
ACGCUCGACACCUACGGGAGACAGCAGUGGGGAAUAUUGCACAAUGGGGGAAACCCUGAUGCAGCGACGCCGCGUGAGUGAAGAAGUAUUUCGGUAUGUAAAGCUCUAUCAGCAGGGAAGAAGAUGACGGUACCUGAGUAAGAAGCCCCGGCUAACUACGUGCCGGCAGCCGCGGUAAUCUGAGGCGGGCUGGCAAGGC